AGAAGACCGACCGUUGCCAUUCUCUAAAGGAGACACUCAAGCGCCUACUGGACCAGCGAUGGAGUGGACAUUUUGCUACAGUCUCAGUCAUUCUGAAAUCAUUUGAUGACCUAUCCACACUGUUCCAAGAGAUCACCAGCACCCGGGCAUUUGGAGCAGAUGUGCGCGUUGAAGCAACGGGGUUGUGGCAUAGCAUGUCUGAGCCCAGCUUUAAGUUCAUUGCUGAGAUGGUGCACAAGAUCCUUUCGUAUCUUGACCCCCCAAAUAAGAUGUUGCAGUCUGAACACAUGGAUCUGGCUACAGGUUUGCAGCUCAUCAGCAGUGCAUGCACCUGUCUUGAGAAUAUCCGCACUGAGACAGAAUUCCAGACAAUCCUGGCACAUUGUGACAAUGUUACAACAAGACCAUCAA